rnacentral:misc_RNA from 1 species
CCUCCUUUCUAGAGAAAGACAAAAAGCAAUAUGAAUACCAAUUUUAUACCUUAAAUAAAGUCUCGUAGCUCAGUUGGUCAGAGCACUACACUGAUAAUGUAGGGGUCGGCGGUUCAAAUCCGCCCGAGACUACAAAUAAAAAAUAUUUAUGGGGGAUUAGCUCAGCUGGCUAGAGCGCCUGCCUUGCACGCAGGAGGUCAACGGUUCGACUCCGUUAUUCUCCACCAUUUUCACUGAAAUAUAGUGAAUAAGUUCAUUGAUGUAUUGUAAGUAAGAAGAAAUACCUGCAUAGGUAGAAGUAAUUAAGAGUGUAUGGCGGAUGCCUAGGCUCUCAGAGGCGAAGAAAGACGUGAGACACUGCGAUAAGCCAUGAUGAGGAGUGAACUAUCCUAUGAUUCAUGGAUUUACGAAUG